rnacentral:lncRNA from 1 species
GGACGUCGGCGCGAGUGCGGCCCCAGGGAAACGCCGCAUUUCCAAUCUUCCGGAUAAAGCCCGCACAGCCAAUGCAAAUGCGCCCCGCCACGGCUUCUUCCCCGAAAAGCUGCCUUCCAGAAUUUUUCUGCAGCAGGCAAAUAUUUAGCGCGAACAAGCUGACAUUUUUUAAAGGAGGAGGAGGAAGAAAAAACUCGGAGGAGUCGCGCAGCUGGAGCAAAGCAAUGCAAGUGGGGCGUGCAUUUAGGAAAAGCCCUGUUGCACCCCACAUUUGGAUGAAUUCAGAGAAGCGUUCUGCUGCACAGAAAAGCUUUCAAGGAUGAAACCCGGUAGUGCAGCGCUGUUCCCGCCCUCCCAACAACUGUACCUUCUGGAACCCCAAAACGGCCUCCGCAUUGGUGGCGACGACCUCCGAGUCUUUGGCUAAGCUACCCUGACCUGGAUGGAGCGCUCGGCGCAGCGCCUACAGCUACCUGCUGCGUCCGCAGACCUGAGGCUGAGCGCUAAGGGGCGGGUGCACCCGGAAAAGCAAAACUCUAAGGGUGAAAAAUGCUCAAUAACGAUGUGAGUCGGAUCUGGAAUGGGAUGGAGAGCACUCUAGACUCUUUGGAGGAGCCCAAACUAAGGGUCCAACUUGAAGGGAAUUUUCAGAAACUUAACACUUGGAUAUUCAAUAUUGCAGAGGUUUAUCCUCCCUUUCUUUUUCUUCUGUGUGUUUUCUUUUUAUUUCCAACGCCCCCCUCUUUGCAACCGCCCCUGAUGGGAAGGGGAUCGCGGUUGCUUAACUGCCUGAAUAGUAACAACCCGGGAAGAGGGUGAACCCAACUAGACUGUCAGCGAGACUCAACCUUCAGGUUUGUUAAUCCACCACUGCUUUGGGGUUCAAAACUCCCAACGCUUCCCCUGAGAGUUCCUAGGACCUUUAUGGAUCGCGUAUGAUGCACACUACGACCCGAGCAACGAUUUUUUUUCCCCACUGUAAAAAAUUAAACUAUGCAGUUACCAAGGAAAACUAAAGAGGAGGGUGGAGGGGGAAGGGCUUCAUCUAUAAAAAGUGUCUUACAAAGUCAAGGCUGAUAAUGACAGCGGAGGAUACAAAAUAAAAAAUUUUAACUCC